CGCCCGCCGCGCGCGGCGGGCCUACGGGAGGCAGCAGUGGGGAAUCUUCCGCAAUGGACGAAAGUCUGACGGAGCAACGCCGCGUGAGUGAAGAAGGUUUUCGGAUCGUAAAACUCUGUUGUUAAGGACGAAUGUAUAGAUUGUGAAUAAUGGCUUAUAAUGACGGUACUUAACGAGGAAGCCACGGCUAACUACGUGCCAGCAGCCGCGGUAAUA
rnacentral:rRNA from 1 species